CUUGCCCCCCCUCUAGCCCGAC
rnacentral:miRNA from 1 species